GCCUUUGGCCAGUCCUUUUGUUUUGCGUCUCUCCAAAAGAGAAAGGGACCUGGUGCACUCUUUAUGAGUUAUGAAAAGAGAAGCAGCUGCUGUUUAAAUUGUGCUCUGCGAUACAUUUUGAUUUAUUAAUAAAAGUGAUAUUUAAAAAAAUUUAUGUCAAGAAAGUGAUACCUUAAGUGCAAGACUUUGUGUCGUGAUGAAAUGUUUUGUGCCAAUAAAAAUCCCGCAGAGUUUUACACAGUUCGAAAAGAUAAGUUAGCCAGGGAUUCCGUGGACCCGAACAAAUGUUUACGAAAGACGAUGACAAACAUUAAAAACAAAUUGACAAAACACAAAACUAGAUUUUGGAACAACAACUGUAAUUCAACAGAUAAAUAAAAUAAUACAAUUUAAAUAAAAUGAAGCAAAAUAUUAAUAAAUUG